UACGUAGGGUGCGAGCGUUGUCCGGAAUUAUUGGGCGUAAAGAGCUUGUAGGCGGUUUGUCGCGUCUGCUGUGAAAAUCCGGGGCUCAACUCCGGACUUGCAGUGGGUACGGGCAGGCUAGAGUACUAAAGAGGGUCGCGGAAUUCCCGGUGUAGAGGUGAAAUUCGUAGAUAUCGGGAGGAACACCGGUGGCGAAGGCGGCGACCUGGGUAGAUACUGACGCUGAGGUGCGAAAGCGUGGGGAGCAAACAGG
rnacentral:rRNA from 1 species